ACUCCUACGGGAGGCAGCAGUGGGGAAUAUUGCACAAUGGGCGCAAGCCUGAUGCAGCCAUGCCGCGUGUAUGAAGAAGGCCUUCGGGUUGUAAAGUACUUUCAGCAGUGAGGAAGGUGGAUAUGUUAAUAGCAUAUUCAUUUGUACGUUAGCUGCAGAAGAAGCACCGGCUAACUCCGUGCCAGCAGCCGCGGUAAUACGGAGGGUGCGAGCGUUAAUCGGAAUUACUGGGCGUAAAGCGCAUGCAGGUGGUUUGUUAAGUCAGAUGUGAAAGCCCGGGGCUCAACCUCGGAAUUGCAUUUGAAACUGGCAAACUAGAGUACUGUAGAGGGGGGUAGAAUUUCAGGUGUAGCGGUGAAAUGCGUAGAGAUCUGAAGGAAUACCGGUGGCGAAGCGGCCCCCUGGACAGAUACUGACACUCAGAUGCGAAAGCGUGGGGAGCAAACAGGAUUAGAUACCCUGGUAGGCUCU
rnacentral:rRNA from 1 species